UACGUAGGAUGCAAGCGUUGUCCGGAAUUAUUGGGCGUAAAGAGCGCGCAGGCGGUAACUCAAGUCAGAUGUGAAAUAUCCGGGCUUAACCCGGAGGGGUCAUUUGAAACUGAGUAACUAGAGUACAGCAGAGGAUAGCGGAAUUCCCGGUGUAGUGGUGAAAUGCGUAGAUAUCGGGAGGAACACCAGUGGCGAAGGCGGCUAUCUGGGCUGAAACUGACGCUGAGACGCGAAAGCGUGGGGAGCGAACAGG
rnacentral:rRNA from 1 species